GUGGGGAAUAUUGGGCAAUGGGCGCAAGCCUGACCCAGCAACGCCGCGUGAGGGAAGAAGGCUUUCGGGUUGUAAACCUCUGUCCUUGGUGACGAAACAAAUGACGGUAGCCAAGGAGGAAGCCCCGGCUAACUACGUGCCAGCAGCCGCGGUAAUACGUAGGGGGCGAGCGUUGUCCGGAAUUACUGGGCGUAAAGGGUGCGUAGGUGGCCUUUUAAGUUGGAUGUGAAAUACUCGGGCUUCACUUGGGGGGUGCAUCCAAAACUGGGAGGCUAGAGUGCAGGGGAGGAAGGCGGAAUUCCUAGUGUAGCGGUGAAAUGCGUAGAUAUUGGGAAGAACACCUGUGGCGAAGGCGACUUGCUGGCCAGCAACUGACGCUGAGGCGCGAAAGCCAGGGGAGCAAACUGGAUUAGAAACCCCGGUAGUCC
rnacentral:rRNA from 1 species